rnacentral:rRNA from 1 species
AACUAACAAGGAUUCCCCUAGUAACUGCGAGUGAAGCGGGAAAAGCUCAAAUUUAAAAUCUGGCAGUCUUUGGCUGUCCGAGUUGUAAUCUAGAGAAGUAUUAUCCGCGCUGGACCGUGUACAAGUCUCCUGGAAUGGGGCGUCAUAGAGGGUGAGAAUCCCGUCUUUGACACGGACUGCCAGGGCUUUGUGAUGUGCUCUCAAAGAGUCGAGUUGUUUGGGAAUGCAGCUCAAAAUGGGUGGUAAAUUCCAUCUAAAGCUAAAUAUUGGCGAGAGACCGAUAGCGAACAAGUACCGUGAGGGAAAGAUGAAAAGAACUUUGGAAAGAGAGUUAAACAGUACGUGAAAUUGCUGAAAGGGAAACGCUUGAAGUCAGUCGCGUUGGCCAGGGAUCAACCUUGCUUUUUUGCUUGGCUUACUUUCUGGUYGACGGGUCAGCAUCAAUUUUGACUGGUGGAAAAAGUUCAAGGGAAUGUGGCAUCUUCGGAUGUGUUAUAGCCUUUGUUCGCAUACAUUGGUUGGGAUUGAGGAACUCAGCACGCCGCAAGGCCGGGUUUUUAACCACGUACGUGCUUAGGAUGCUGGCAUAAUGGCUUUAAUCGACCCGUCUUGAAACACGGACCAAGGAGUCUAACAUGCCUGCGAGUGUUUGGGUGAAAAACCCGAGCGCGUAAUGAAAGUGAAAGUUGAGAUCCCUGUCGUGGGGAGCAUUGACGCCCGGAUCUGACCUUUUGUGACGAUUCUGCGGUAGAGCAUGUAUGUUGGGACCCGAAAGAUGGUGAACUAUGCCUGAAUAGGGUGAAGCCAGAGGAAACUCUGGUGGAGGCUCGUAGCGAUUCUGACGUGCAAAUCGAUCGUCAAAUUUGGGUAUAGGGGCGAAAGACUAAUCGAACCAUCUAGUAGCUGGUC